rnacentral:lncRNA from 1 species
UCGUCUUCUCUCCAAACUCUCCCCUACCCUAGUGGCUGCGUGGGUUGGGUUUUAGCCUAUUAGGUAGCGGGGUGUGGAAGAAGAAGAAUAAUUUUUCAUAUUUAAUUUUUUUAAUUACUUUAUUUGUUUUAUGUAGAAAAAUAUAAAGUUACAAUUUUGUCCUUAUAUAAAAUUUGAUUUAAACCUAGCCAAUUUUUUAGCAAUUUGAACAAAUUCAUCUAUUUGUCAUCCAAUCGCACAUGCUUGAAAGGUUUGAUACCUCAAGUAUAACAAAUGAAAGAUCAGGGUAAAAUUUAAAUGUUUAGAGCCGUGACUGCAAUUAUCUCUUAAGAAAUAAAAACCAGUCCCUUAUCCAUUUGCAUCUCUUCUGCUCUUUGGACAUAAUUUGUCUCUCUCUCAGAUCCUUCUCUCUCCUCGGAUCUUGAAAUCUCGACAGUGAAUGGGUCUCAGAAUGCUAUAUGGCCUGGUUUUUCUGACAUUUUCCAGCGCCUGUUUCCUCUGCUUGUAUCUCAUGCUGCAGCCUGUGUUCUACUUCACCUCUUGAGAGAUAGGUGGUUCAGCGGCGGAAAUGGACCGGCGAGAUUAGUUUCUGUUAGUGUGUAUUUUCAGAUCUGGUUUUUCCCCUUCUUUAUUUAUUUUAGAUGGUGUGGUAUGCUUCGACGAGAAUGGUACUUAAUGGUUUUCGUUGGACUUUCUAAUUUAUAAAAAAUAUAUGUAUAUUUUUUUUUAUUGAAGCUUCCUGAUUCUUUCAUUCAUUUUAUUUUUGUCUAGUAUAUGCUCCCAGAAUAUUUGGAAUUAUUAAUUGAUAAUAAGGUAACAUUUUUAAUUUGAACUAAUUAAUUAUCGAUUUUGAUUUGGAUAAAAUUAGGGCUUGACAUGGUUCAAUUCGAUCCUCGAAAUUUUCGGGUAUUUAGUAAGUGAAAUCGUCAGGUCCAAAUUUAAUUAUGAAAUUGUUCGAGUUCGAUUCGAUUCGAUUUCAUUCGUUUUUCAAGUUCCGUAUUAUAACUAAAUUUUUUGAUAUUUGCAAAAUUACAUCGAAC